rnacentral:rRNA from 1 species
AAUAAGCGGAGGAAAAGAAACCAACAGGGAUUGCCCUAGUAACGGCGAGUGAAGCGGCAACAGCUCAAAUUUGAAAUCUGGCGUCUUUGGCGUCCGAGUUGUAAUUUGCAGAGGGCGCUUUGGCAUUGGCAGCGGUCCAAGUUCCUUGGAACAGGACGUCACAGAGGGUGAGAAUCCCGUACGUGGUCGCUAGCCUUUACCGUGUAAAGCCCCUUCGACGAGUCGAGUUGUUUGGGAAUGCAGCUCUAAAUGGGAGGUAAAUUUCUUCUAAAGCUAAAUACUGGCCAGAGACCGAUAGCGCACAAGUAGAGUGAUCGAAAGAUGAAAAGCACUUUGGAAAGAGAGUUAAAAAGCACGUGAAAUUGUUGAAAGGGAAGCGCUUGCAGCCAGACUUGCCUGUAGUUGCUCAUCCGGGUUUCUACCCGGUGCACUCUUCUAUAGGCAGGCCAGCAUCAGUUUGGGCGGUUGGAUAAAGGUCUCUGUCAUGUACCUCUCUUCGGGGAGAACUUAUAGGGGAGACGACAUGCAACCAGCCUGGACUGAGGUCCGCGCAUCUGCUAGGAUGCUGGCGUAAUGGCUGUAAGCGGCCCGUCUUGAAACACGGACCAAGGAGUCUAACAUCUAUGCGAGUGUUUGGGUGUCAAGCCCGAACGCGUAAUGAAAGUGAACGGAGGUGGGAACCUUUCGGGGUGCACCAUCGACCGAUCCUGAUGUCUUCGGAUGGAUUUGAGUAAGAGCAUAGCUGUUGGGACCCGAAAGAUGGUGAACUAUGCUUGAAUAGGGUGAAGCCAGAGGAAACUCUGGUGGAGGCUCGCAGCGGUUCUGACGUGCAAAUCGAUCGUCAAAUUUGGGCAUAGGGGCGAAAGACUAAUCGAACUAUCUAGUAGCUGGUUC